GAUGAACGCUGGCGGCGUGCCUAAUACAUGCAAGUCGAGCGAACGGACGAGAAGCUUGCUUCUCUGAUGUUAGCGGCGGACGGGUGAGUAACACGUGGAUAACCUACCUAUAAGACUGGGAUAACUUCGGGAAACCGGAGCUAAUACCGGAUAAUAUUUUGAACCGCAUGGUUCAAAAGUGAAAGACGGUCUUGCUGUCACUUAUAGAUGGAUCCGCGCUGCAUUAGCUAGUUGGUAAGGUAACGGCUUACCAAGGCAACGAUGCAUAGCCGACCUGAGAGGGGGAUCGCCCCCAAUGGAACUGAGACACGGUCCAGACCCCCAGGGGAGGCAGCAGGAGGGAAUCUUCCGCAAUGGGCGAAAGCCUGACGGAGCAACGCCGGGUGAGUGAUGAAGGUCUUCGGAUUGUAAAACUUUGUUAUUAGGGAAGAAAAUAUGUGUAAGUAACGGUGCACAUCUUGACGGUACCAAAUCAGAAAGCCCCGGCUAACUACGU
rnacentral:rRNA from 1 species